CUCCGGCUCCGCCCACCGUCUCCGCCCCCUCCCCGCGCGGCGCAGGCUGGGAGCUGUAGUUUCCGGCCCGACCCUGGCGCCCAGCGGCCGCCGUCCUGCGACAGAGGAGGAAAUAUGCGAGAAACGUUAGGUAACGGUGUCAAGGUCCCAGACCGAGGUGGCCGCUCCCCUGGGGCUGGACGAGCUCACCUACCACCAGGUAUGCAGGCGCCUGUGGGUCCCAGCCCUGGCAUCCACUCUGAAAAUGUCAUCCCUUUGCUUUCACGGAUGAAAACUGGUUUUAAAAAGAAAGAAACGAAAAGGGAGGGCAGGAGGGGAAGAGGAAGGAAGCAAGAAAACAAAGAAAGAAAAAGGGCAAAAAAAUAAAAAGCACACAAGCAUAAAGGAAUAACUUUCGCCAGAUGUUACCUAGCUUGUAAUUGAAGGUGCUAGGGUUGAUCUGAGGUCAGCCUGACCCCACAUUCUGUAUCCCAGAAUGCUUUCCCCUGUGACACUCAGUACAAAGUGUGUGCUCAAUGAACAUUGUUGAAAUGGUGGAGGAGAGAGCUGGGGGAGCACCUGGGGAGGAAGAGCCGACUUCCUUGAAGCAGGAUGUGUGAGGUACAGGCUCCAGCCUCUAGCCUGCCAGCCGCGUGCAGAAUCACCCACUCAGGGUCUGUCAGGAGACCGGAGACCUCGCAUCUCAGCUCCCUGCCUGCUUUGCCCCAAGAGGCUCUGAGAGUCAAGGCUGGGAACAGCUGCUGGCUUCCCAGGUUCAGAGUCAUUGCCAUCAAGUAUUUAUUAACCUCCCACUGUGUGCAGAGGGGCUUCCAAAGGGAUGGGCCCAGAGAUGAAUGUAUUUCCCUUCUUAAGGGCAACUGCGGAAUCUCCAGGCACUCCUGGAGUGUUAAGAAGGAGGUGUCUUCCUGUCUGCUUGCUGAGUCCCCUCACCCUUUGGCCUCUGCCCAGCCCCUUCACUGGAUAAGAGUGAGGAGAGGUAUCCAGGUGCAAAUGCACACACACACACACACACACACACACACACACACACACGUACGUCACAGUGCCAGCCGGGCCCAGAGGCCACAAGCCUGCAGUCUCCUGUUUUCCCAUGGCCGUGCAGACCCUCCAGGACCCCCUCGCCACUCCCGCAUGCCCUGCCUGUCUCCCUGCCACCUGUCUUCUUCAUUUUCCUCCCUCUCUUCCAUCCCCAAACCAAGCCACCUGUUUGCUUCAAGUCUCCAGAUCACAUAUUUUGGUUUAAUGAUUGCCAAAUAAAUUACCAUUAAUAUGUGGUGAGGGGCAGAAAUGUGCUGUUCGUACUGGUUUUUAGUGCUGGAUACAGUGUCUGGCUAUGAAAAAUCAAUUUGGGGUACAGGCUCCAGGCCUGGGCAUUUCUGUGCCUCAGUCAACCCUUCUGGGCCAGGCUGCCAACUCAGGUUCUCCUGACUGUGCCAGAAGGGUCCAAGUAGGACCUGGGAGAGCAGUGGGCAGGGUGAGGCAGCCUGUGUGCACCAGAGAGCCCCAUGGACCAGAGAUCCACCAGGGAGUGGGACAGGACGGGGUGCCACCAACCCGAGUGCCACCCUGGCUACAGCUGCCCCAUCCUGAAGGGGAGGCAGACAGCACCCAGGUUGGAGUCGGGCUCUGGAGCCAGGCUUCCCCGGCUGGAGCCCUCCUGGAGGAAUGGUGGGUGGCCCAGGCAAGACGUCUCCUGAGCCUCAUCUCGCUGCUCUGUAAGGUGGGAGUAAUAAGGGUUCAGGGGAAGACUACAUGCUGGUCACGCGCAACACCCCACAGCACCACACGUGACAGCCCAGCACCCUGUGGAAAACAGCAGCUGGCUCUUUAGAGAUUCCCACCCGACUCCUCCCAACUCCACACUCAGCAGUGUCACGCUGUUGGCCUGAAGUCCUUCGGGUGGAGGAUUCCACCACAGGAAUCAGCAAACAUGGAAACCAGGGCUUACUUCUUCCUGAAGUGUAGUUGAGGUGUUCCUGGCAUUCAACAGCUACCAGCACAUUUGGGUUCAAGCUGCACACUCCCCUCUUCCAGAGAUGCUCCUCCUCGCUCCUCCUGCCCUGUCCCCAGCAAAGCCUGGUCCACUGUGUGACCUAAGCCAACUGCUUAGCUCUCGGGCCUUCCAUGUGACGGGGCCAACCAGGAAGCCCAGGCAAAGCACUCUGUACCCUCUAGUACUGGAGGUGACUCCUGUGGUCACUGUGCAAGCUCAGGACUGAGCACCUCAGCCCUGCCACCCUGCCCAACUGGGGCUCUGCACCCAGGCAUCUCCCCGCCUCGGCUGCAUGUCAGGCGGCACCAGGGCUUCCUCUGACCCCGACUCCACCCGUGUGUUCCCAGCAACCUCUCAAUCGGGACCACCAUUCACACUGUAAAUGAGAAAGUGGGCAUUACACGGGUCUUAGAACUUGUCCACACUAAGAAGUAACUAGUGGCACAGCUGGGAUCAAACUCAGGCCUGUGAGAUGCGAAAGCUCAGGCCCUUGCCAUGCAACCUGAAGCCCAAAUCCACAGGAUCCAGUCCUGUUGGUGUUUACUAAACAUCACCAUGUGACUCCCACACACACCCCACUUACCUCUCACUGCAGAGACAGACGAGGCCCACCGGAGGAAAGGGGGCAGCAGUGCAGCUCCCAGCACGUGACAGAGGCUCAUGCAGGGCAGAGGACUGUCAAGGAGGCCUUGCAGAGGUGGCAGGACCUGAUCCACGCCUUGAGGGCAUCGUUUGGUUUCCCCCUGAACCGUGCGACUUCACACCUCCGUGCCUCUGCCUGGCCAGCCCUGUGCCUACAUCCCCUAUGUCCCCAGCCGCGCCGAAGAGCCUGCUCACUCAGAGGCCUCCUCAGGGGCCCCACUAUGAGCCAGGGUCCCUUCUGCAUUCAGUCCCCCGUGCUGACACUGCGUUAGGCAGUGCACUUCUUAUCCUGAUGUGCGUCCUUUGCCCCAGACUGGGAGCUCCUUGAGGACGGGAACAAUGCCUACUUUUCCCUGGGUCUGCGGCUCCUCCACAGAGCCAGCAAGCAGCCGAAGCUUGACGGAGGAACUGGAAACGGGAGAGGUCAUUUGGAGGCAAAUAAGAAGUCGUGGCACUUUCAUAAGUAAGCAGCAUGAUUUCCCUGUCAUCGGAGUGAGUGGGUAGAAUGAGCUCUAAAUCACUCAGCUUCACGAGUCCAUGGUCUGUGGUCUAUAGAACUUGCCCCUAAAAUGUACAAGCAGCUGACACUGGCUGAGAGAAGUACCACCUGUGGGCCUGUGGCUGCCCCUCAUAGGCGCCCACUCCUCGAGAGCAAGAGGGGUCUGACCUUUCUCACCUCCCUGGCACGAGCAGGACGCCUGGCCCUGGAUAUUCUCAUUAAAGUUUAUCAGAUGGGCGAAUGAUGGAUGAAGGGAGGGAGGGAUGGAAGAUACGGUGACACACAAUGACAUAAAAUAGUGGCUUUUCCAGAACAGCCCGUGGUUGGAGGCCAUCCUUAGCCUCCUAGGGAUAGUGUUAUAAAGAUCGACAAGCCCUUCUCCAGACCCUGCUGUCCACCUACAGUCAGUACUGUGUUCUUAUCUAGGAGCUCUGUGGCUGGAUUAACUAAUGCUGUCAAUAAAAACACCUGUGUUUG